UUAAAAUUUGGAUUCUACUGGGGAAAAAGAUUACAAUAAAGUGUCUGUGCUGCACCCAGGAAGGCAUGCCCACUGGGUAAGGCUCGGCACCAAGCGGCCUCUCACUGUGGGUCAGGCUCGCAUGGGGCGGGUGUGCCUGGCCCCUGUGUGAACCUGGAGCUGGCCAUGGGGAGAGGCUGCUCUGGGGCUUUUCAGAGAAUCCGUGGUUGAUUCCCUCAAGGACUCCCUCAAGGGGGCCACGCUCCUCCUCCCUGGGUCCCCUCCCUGGCCCCCACCCUUCCCUUUCUCAGGUCCUCCCUCUGACAGUGGCUGUAGCCCUCUGCUCCUAGCCCAGGGCAGCCCUGGCCUCUGGAGUCACAGUCAUGUGUUCAAGUCUCGGCCCCUUUCCCAAGGUGAGCUGGUCCUGCAGGGAUGCGGGAAGUGUCAGAAUAUGAAAACAACCAGGACAAGGACAGCUCAGCUUACCCCGCUCCAGCACCUUCUCCAGGUCAAGCACUUGGCCAGCCCUGUAGCAGCCUCCUCAUUCCAUCUCUCUGGUGUUUUACAGAUGAGAAAUGAGCACAGAGAGGUUAGGAGCAUUGUCCAGUGCCACAGAGCUGGCAUGUGCUUGUCUGGGCUGAGAACUCUAUGAAGCCUUGGAAAUGCUCCCCACAUAUGGAGCAGUGUGUUCAGGCCCCAUGGCCUGACCGGGAGCAGGAGGGAAGGACAGGCUCAGGUCUCGCAUCCCGGGAAGAAUUUCUCCUCAGUGCACCAGGGAAUAUCGCCUGACGACGGAAUCAGGUUUCUUUCCCCAUGACCCCUCCACCAUUAGUGUUCCCAGAAAGCCAGGGGCUGCUGUGCCCAGAGGAGGUGCACCCUGGGAGCCCUGCCUGCAGGACGGGAAGCAGAGCCCCCUCAGAACAGAAACUAGGAACAGAGGAGGGACAAGGGAGGGAGGGCAGAAGGUCCGGUGCCCUCAGUUUCUAUCCAUCCUUGGGUCGGAAACCUGGGAUGGAAUGAGUGAGGAGCUGGGUCCACAGGGACAGGAACUGGGGGAUACCAGGGGCUAGGGCUGCUCAUCCUUUCCCAAGGAGGAGCCAGGGAAAAAUUAAGCUCAUAGGGAAUGUCGGGUUCACCGGGCCUGGCGGACUCCAGAUCCCAGAGGCAGGGCACCCACACAUCUCUCACCGGCACGCACCAGGGCCCCGAUAGCCGGGCACCAUCAUGGCGAAUUACAUUACAUUGCAUUACCCGGGGACCACUAUCAUGACCACGUUGGGAGAGGAAACUGAGGCACUAAGCUGCCAAAGUCACGCAGCCCACAACACUGGAAGGCAAAGCAGCCGUCUGGACCCCAGAACUGGAGCUGUCCCCUCACUGGGCGAAACCCAGAACCCAGUGUUUGCUUCUUUCUCAGAGUAGCAAGAAGACAUGGCAGAGCUGCCCUCAGGCUGGAGGCUUGCAAGCCGGAGGCGCACCACUGUCUAAGCAAACCAGGCACGAGGAAACGCAUUCGCAAGCCUGAGAAGAUGAGUGGCCAUCACUGGCAUCACCGAAAUGGCCUCCUCAACCGGACGGGAAGAAUCCCUCCCCCAGCUGACUCCCCGAGAUGCUCCAUGCCCCACGUUCCUGACCUCCUAGGGGAAGGAGCAGGAGGAACCCAAGGCCAUCAGAGGGGCCUGGACUGUGGGUGCUGCCAAGUCUGUAGGUGACCCGGUGACCAUCCCGGUUUGCAGGGGACCAAGAUUCUUUCUGGGAUGUGGUGCUUUCAGUGGCAACAAGAAGAGCCCCCUCGGCAGCCCUGGCAAUCCAGGACAGUGGGUCGCCCCCGCACGGCCUGACGCUGUGGCGUGGAGUCUCCAGCGGGGCAGCACUGGGUUGGAGGAGGGAGGAUGCUGCCAGCAUCACGGGGAGGUCACAUGCCAGACACUGGUGUCUGAUUUCCCCUUGAGAGAGGUUUCAUCACUGCCCCGUCCUUGGAAAGGGUCACCCAGUCAGACUACAGAGCCAGGACCAUGAUCCAAAGCUGAGCAGUGCCCACCAAAGACAGUGUUCCCAGUGCUCAGGAGCCCUUGGGCCUUUAUAAGGUGUCUACCGUGGGACUAAAAAAACACCUGUCCCCAGGUGACAGCAUGCUGCCUUUGAAACACAGCUCUGUGAGAACACACCUGGCAAAGGCAGUCUUGGGGGCCACGCGGCAGGGACCCCUUUCCUUUACCAACUCUCACAGGCUGAGCCGCUCUUGCUGUGAAUGUACGUGGCCUUGGUAUGUUCUCCAGCAAGAUUAUAAGUGGAGGAUGGAGUCAGCUGGGAAGCGAGGCUCAGAUCAAGGAGGGCUACUACCAGGAUCCCUGCAGAAACAGGGACACAGGGAGAGAUGGCUGUAAAAUCCUUGAGCUUUAAGGGGUAAGCUCAUGGAGCCCUGAAAAAUAUGACUGCAUUGCAAAUGCCAACUUGUAGACACAAAUAUCGUGGAAGCAGGCCACGUUCAGCCUUGCACACUGUGCGCUCUUCCAUGACUGAGAACGUUAGUCACCUGCACCCUGACCAACCUCUCAUCCCUGAAGCCUGCUGGGAGGUGUCUGGGGACAGGAACGAAAAUUUACAAUGUUCUUUGGUUGUUUAAUUUUGAAUUUUCUCCCUCAUUAUUAUUGAAACUGAAACAUCUAAGAGGACACCCAGAUUUAUCUGAAACCGGAAGAUGACACGUAUGAAGGAUCAAGCAUUCAUCACAAACACAGGCAGGCGAAGGAGACCAAAACACAGCUAGGACCAUGCCAAGCGUCGGUGAUGAUGUGGAGAAAUGGGGACCUGCCAGACACUGCUGGUGGGGAGGUGACAUGGUGCAGCCACUAUGGAAAAUAGUCCAGCAGUUCCUCGAAAUGGAAAGCAGGAGUCCCAUGACCCAGCAGUUCCAUUUUCAAGGAAGUCCCCAAGAGAAAUAGAAACUUACGUCUUCACAAAAGCUUGAAAAUACACAUUCAUAGCAGCAUGAUUCAUAACAUCAAAAAGCAGAAACAGCCCAAAUGCCCAUCAGUGGAUGGAUGGAUAAGCACAAUGUGGCCCCUCCAUACGACACAAUAUUACUCAGCCAUAAGAACGAGUGAGGUAGCGGCACAGGCCACAAAGUGGGCGAACCUGGGAACCACGGGACUGAGUGGAAGGAGCCAGUCACAAAAGGUCAUGGGCUGUCUGAAUCCAUUCAUUUGAAUUUCCAGACUAGGCAAAUCCACAGAGACAGAAAGUGGGUUGGUGGUUGCAGUGGCUGGGGGCAGGGGGACAUGGGGAGAGUGCGGAGUGAGUACUAAUAGGUGUGUGGUUUCUUUUUUCAGUGAUAAAAAUGUACUAAAAUUUAUUGUGAUGGUUGCACAAGUCUGUGGCUGAAAACCACUGAAUUGUACGUUUUAAUGGGGUGCAUUGUUUGCGUGUGAAUCACAUCUCAAUAAAGCUGUUUUUAAAAUGCAAUUAUUGCACAAUGCAAA
ensembl:lncRNA novel transcript